rnacentral:misc_RNA from 1 species
UUUCCGUAGGUGAACCUGCGGAAGGAUCAUUCAUAAUAAGUGUUUUAUGGCACUUUUUUAAAUCCAUAUCCACCUUGUGUGCAAUGUCAGGGUUGAUUCUUCUCUCGAGAGGAUCAACCUCAAACAUCAACUAUAUCUCAACUCUUUGUCUGAAAAAUAUUAUGAAUAAAACAAUUCAAAAUACAACUUUCAACAACGGAUCUCUUGGCUCUC